rnacentral:rRNA from 1 species
UACGUAGGGGGCAAGCGUUGUCCGGAUUUAUUGGGCGUAAAGAGCGUGUAGGCGGCCAGGUAGGUCCGUUGUGAAAACUCGAGGCUCAACCUCGAGACGUCGGCGGAAACCCUCUGGCUAGAGUCCGGAAGAGGAGAGUGGAAUUCCUGGUGUAGCGGUGAAAUGCGCAGAUAUCAGGAGGAACACCGGUGGCGAAGGCGGCUAUCUGGACAGAGUCUGACGCUGAGGCGCGAAAGCUAGGGGAGCAAACAGG